GAUGAAGAACGCAGCGAAAUGCGAUAAGUAAUGUGAAUUGCAGAAUUCAGUGAAUCAUCGAAUCUUUGAACGCACAUUGCGCCCUUUGGUAUUCCUUAGGGCAUGCCUGUUCGAGCGUCAUUUCAACCAUCAAGCCCCCAGGGGCUUGUGCUGGGGCCCUGCGGCUGCCCGCAGGCCCUGAAAACCAGUGGCGGGCUCGCUAGUCACACCGAGCGCAGUAGCACAUCUCGCUCAGGGCGUGCGGCGGGCUCCUGCCGUGAAACCCCCCACUGUAACCCCAAAGGUUGACCUCGGAUCAGGUAGGAAUACCCGCUGAACUUAAGCAUAUCAAUAAGCGGAGGA
rnacentral:misc_RNA from 1 species